rnacentral:rRNA from 1 species
GUUAAGUCGGGGCCAGGAGGCAGGGACAGAUAGAGUGUGCCAACGGUUGUCGGAAUUACUGGGCGUGAAGGGUGUGUAUGUGGCCGCGAAAGUCGGGUGGGAAAGCCCUGGGCUCAACUCAGGAAGUGCGCCCGAUACUGCGUGGCUCGAGUACCGGAGAGGUUGGUGGAAUUCUCGGUGUAGAGGUGAAAUUCGUAGAUAUCGAGAGGAACACCUGUGGCGAAGGCGGCCAACUGGACGAGUACUGACACUGAGACACGAAAGCGUGGGGAGCAAACAGGAUUAGAUACCCGAGUAGUC